rnacentral:tRNA from 1 species
UUAAUUGAAACCAAAUUAGAGGUAAGUUAUUGUUAAUAACUUAAUUGAAAGAUAAAUUCCAAUUUUU